ensembl:lncRNA
GUCAUGUAGGGUCAUGUAGGGGGAUGUAGGGGGAUGUAGGGGGAUGUAGGGUCAUGUAGGGGGAUGUAGGGUCAUCAUUAAUGCAGUACAAAAGGCUGUCAUUAUCAACAUGCACACCAAGAUUAAAACCACCCACAGUAAUGACUUUGUCCUGUACACUACAACAAAGACAACUGGCUCUAUCAGUCUUUUUAGUAAGACAGUCUUUCUGCUAUUUCAUUUUACAAGGAUUUCAGUAUUACGUCUACACAUAUAUAAGUAUACACUAUACUUUACUUCUGUACACUUCUCACCAUUUGUUUUAUUAUUCUGUUGUAAUCUCUCAUAAAUAUCUAUAAGAAUUUAUUUUUUCCUUCACAAAAUUCCUUCUUGUCGCUCAGGACGUCAACUUGGAGGAAACUGUCUCUCACGCACACAGACACAGACACACCCUUUAGCUUCACACACCUGAUUAACUUUAAUUGUUCAAUGGAAUGACAUCCUGGCGCCUUUCAGUAUCCGAUGAAGUUUGAAUGGUAUAAAAUAAAUGAAUAACAAUUGCUGGAUGACCAAGCAUCAUUAUGAACAAUUAACCAGUCUGCGUCUCAUUCUGUCUAUAUAUAAACAUGACGGGUAAGCAUACACCAAUGGAGCUGCUGGAUCCCACUUAGUGACACAGACAUUUUUAUUCUAAUUUGAAUUUUGCAUAUUUUAAUUAUUUUUGAGAAUGAUGAUUACGAU